rnacentral:misc_RNA from 1 species
UCCGGUUUGGCACCGGCAGUCUCUCUAGAGUCCCCGCCAUGACGCGCUGGCAACUAGAGACAGGGGUUGCGCUCGUUGUGGGACUUAACCCAACAUCUCACGACACGAGCUGACGACAGCCAUGCAGCACCUGUGCUGGAGCUCCGAAGAGGGGCCGAUGUUUCCACCGGCUUUCCCCAGCAUGUCAAGCCUAGGUAAGGUUCUGCGCGUUGCGUCGAAUUAAACCACAUGCUCCACCGCUUGUGCGGGCCCCCGUCAAUUCCUUUGAGUUUCAGCCUUGCGGCCGUACUCCCCAAGCGGGGUGCUUAAUGCGUUAGCUGCGGCACCGAGGGGGUCGCUCCCCCCGACACCUAGCACCCAUCGUUUACGGCGUGGACUAC